rnacentral:tRNA from 1 species
GGCUCGGUAGCUUAAUUGGUAAAGCACGUGUCUAGCAUUCAAGAAACGUGGGUUCGAAUCCCACCUGAGCAC